rnacentral:rRNA from 1 species
AACGUAGGACGCAAGCGUUAUCCGGAGUUACUGGGCGUAAAGCGCGCGUAGGCGGCUUUUCAAGUCGAUUGUGAAAUCCCCGGGCUUAACCUGGGAACUGCAGUCGAGACUGUCUAGCUAGAGUAUGGGAGAGGGAAGUGGAAUUUCAGGUGUAGCGGUGAAAUGCGUAGAUAUCUGAAGGAACAUCAGUGGCGAAAGCGACUUCCUGGACCAAUACUGACGCUCAUGUGCGAAAGCGUGGGGAGCAAACAGG